CUCAUGUAAUUAAAACUUGCUUAUUUUCCUCUCCUCACUCACACCUUCACAGCCAAUCACAGGAAGAGGGGUUUUGCAAGGGUUUAAGGUAUUCUUCUCCGUUGUUCAUAUCAAUCAUUUCAAUCUGCAACCAAAAUGAGAAGGGCAACAAUCAAAUUCCUCUCUUUCUCCAAACUCACACCAAUUUCUCGCAACUUAACUACCCAAAUCUGUUCAACCCUAGGUUCAACUGACCAAUCAUCAUGUACCCAUUUGAGUUCUUGCUCCAAUUCCAAGGGUUUACUCUUUUCACCCCCAAAAACCCACCAAUUCCAGAAAACCCCAUCUCGAAAUUUCAAUACCCAAGUUGAAAUUCCCCCUAAUUUGCCUUCUAGGCAGAGGAAAAUCAAGGAAAGAUCCCAGAUUGAAGAUGAUUUUGAGGCGGCGAAGACAGCAGAGGAUAUGCUUGAAGCUUUCAAAGAAAUGGAGGCGAAUUUUAAUGAGAGAGAUCUUGGUUUAGCUUGCUUGAAAAUUGGUCUUAAACUUGACCAAGAAGGUGAGGAACCUGAAAAAGUUUUAUCUUAUGCAAUUAGAGCUUUAGCUGUUUUUGAUAGUGAGAAUCAAGUUUCUUUACCUGUUGCUAUGACUUUACAGCUUUUGGGUUCUACUAGUUAUUGCUUAAAAAAGUUCAAUGAUGCUUUAGGGUAUCUUAAUAGGGCUAAUAAAGUUUUGUUGAGGUUAGAGGAAGAGGGUAAUUUUAGACCUGAAGAUGUGAAACCUAUUCUUUAUGCUGUUCAGUUUGAAUUAGCUAAUACUAAGACUGCUAUGGGUAGGAGAGAGGAGGCAUUGGAGAAUUUGAGGAGGUCAGUUGAGAUUAAGGAGUUUUUGUUGGGGGGAGAUAGGAAAGAAGUUGGUAAUGCUUAUAGGGAUUUGGCGGAGGCGUGUGUUGCGAUUUUGAACUUUAAGGAAGGUUUACCGUGUUGUUUGAAAGCGUUGGAGUUACACACGAAAUUGUUGGGGGAUAAUUCGGUAGAGGUUGCUCAUGAUAGGCGGCUUCUCGGGGUUAUUUAUACAGGGAUGGAGCAGUAUCAGAAGGCAUUAGAGCAGAAUCAGUUGUCUCAGAAAGUUUUGAAGAAUUGGGGUCGAAGCUCUGAUUUGCUUCGUGCUGAGAUUGAUGCAGCUAAUAUGCAUAUUGCUCUUGGUAGGUUUGAUUCAGCUAUUAACACGUUGAAGGGUGUUGUUCAGCAAACAGAAAAGGAUAGUGAGAAUCGUGCUUUAAUUUUUAUUACAAUGGCUAAAGCUUUGGUUAGUCAAGACAAGUUUGCUGAUGCAAAGAGGUGUUUAGAGAUCGCUUCUGGUAUACUAGACAAAAAGGAGAAGUCGAAGCCUUUAGAAGCUUCCGAGGCUUAUAUGGAGAUAUCUAUGCAAUAUGAGACAAUGAAUGAAUUUGAGACUGCUAUAUCGUUGUUGAAGAGAGCACAAGCUUUGCUUGAGAAGCUUCCUCAAGAACAACAUUCUGAAGGUAGUGUUUCUGCUAGGAUUGGGUGGUUACUUUUAUUGACGGGUAAGGUUACACAAGCUAUCCCGUACUUGGAGAGUGCCGCUGAAACUUUGAAAGAGAGCUUUGGUCCUAAGCAUUUCGGAGUUGGUUAUAUAUAUAAUAAUUUGGGGGCGGCUUAUUUGGAGUUGGAAAGAUAUCAGUCAGCUGCACAGAUGUUUGCUGUUGCAAAGGAUAUCAUGGAUGUCUCACUUGGCCCUCAUCAUGUUGACUCUAUUGAGGCAUGUCAAAACCUCUCAAAAGCAUAUGCUGCCAUGGAAAGUUAUGCCCUUGCGAUAGAAUUUCAGCAAAAAGCAGUUGAUGCUUGGAGUGGUCAUGGGAAAAAUGCAGAAGAUGAGCUUAGAGAAGCGUGCGGAAUUCUGGACCAGUUGAAGGUUAAAGCGCUCGGUGGCUCCUCCAAAUUGUUCCCGAUAAAGGCCUUGCCCUUGCCUCAGAAUAGCAAUCCUACUAGAAGCUUGCAGCCUAAUCACUCCCCAAACACUCGUACAAGGCAAUGAGGGCGACAAGUUAUUCCUUACUCGAACCUCAAAAGAGAGUUUUGGUUCCAACUUCCAAGCAUUUUGAAGAUGGUUAUAUUUACAACUACUUGGGGGUGGCUUAUUUGCAGUUGGAAAGACUGCAGUGAACAGCACAACAGUUGCAAAGGAAAACAUCAUCGAUGUCUCACUAGCUUGGCCCUAAUCGUGUAUGCUCAAUUGAGACAUGUCAAACACUCAAACCUACAAAGACAUAUGCUUACAUUGGAAGAAAUCCAAAAAUAUAUACCUGAAGCUGAUUGCCAACAAAGACAACAAAUGCAUCAGGAACAGUUGAAACACUCAACCAUUGACCAUCCUUGAAGAGUUCAAGGCCAGGGACAUGAAGAGGCACUGCUUGAAGAAUGGUGAUAAGGUUAGGAUCUGAAUGCUUAGUUAAUCCAAGGGUUAAACUCGGGUUAGGGCACGGCGGGUAAUGAUUAACAAUCAAAUUGUUAUCUUCACUUAACUCAUUUGCAAAAUACUCUUUUUCUAGACCAAUUCCUUGUGAUAUGAACCCUAGAAUCCUUGAUCCCAGAUCCUUCAAUGCUGUCACAUAUGUUCCUACUUUCUCCCUGAAAGACAAUUUAAACUUGUCAUUUUAAUAAUACUCUCGACUUCGUUUUAAUAAUAACUAGCUUUUGACCUUGUUCAA